UGCCCCGUAGUCUAACGGUAGGACGCUCGCUGUUACACGCGGAGAGGUCCGGGUCCGAAUCCCGGCGGGGCUGCC
rnacentral:tRNA from 1 species